rnacentral:lncRNA from 1 species
AUUUUGCAAAAUGAUAUCUAGCCGAGUUGGUUAGUUGGUCAUCAGAACCUAGAACAGAGCGGAUGUGUCCAACUAGACUUUGGAACUAAACACUAUCGUAGACUAUCUUCAACAGCUUACUUAUUACUAUACUCAUUCAAAUUACACUCUGCGAACAGUGCAGAAUAGUGUAAAACAGUGUUUUUAGGUAAAGAAUAGUGUAAACAGUGUUUUUAGGUAAACUACGGGCAGACGUUUUAAAUGAAAUGGCAUGAGGUGGUCUUAGCUCUAUAGGUCGGUUAUUAUUUAUAUUUUACUUAAUUUGUUGUUUAAAGUAUAAAAACGGGUACACUAAAGGAGGGAGAGUCUUUACCCAUAGAGAAUGAAGGAAUAAUUUUUUAUAUUUAAAAUACAUUUUAGAGGACACCGUUGCAAUAUAUAGAUGGAAUAUAUAGAGGAGGAAAACUUCUCUAAAUAUAUGGUAGAGGACCGUUUAGGAGACACCGCUGGAUUCAAUAUUAUCGAUGGGGUGCUUAAAUUCUUGUUGUGCACGUCUUCAAUAUCUCAAAUUCAAUAAUGUAAUGUGAUCAAAUCUCUAUUACUUAUUAAGGCUGCAAUAGUAGUCUGUCAUUCCGCGCCACAUGUUCUGCCACCAUUCUAUAUCUAUCAUUCUCAUUUUCCCUCCCAAUAAAGUCCUCAUUUUCCCUCCCUGUAAAGUCCAACGACCUCUCAAGCAAAUGCUAGUAGUAGCUACCACUACACCACAUGUGUGUCUACAUCUAUAACAGAAAACACAUCUACUAUAUCUCUCUACAAACCCACCUGGUACCCUUACACAAUGUGUAGUAGUAGAUAAGUAUCACCGAGAUUCUUGAAUUAUAUUUUUGGAUGGAGGGAGUAGUAUUUAAAGAAGAGCCUUGCAUGCAAUUUCUUUUGUUUCAAUAAUGUUUUCAACUUAAAUUUCUUCUUGCAUGUAUGACAUUUAUUCUUCGUAAUAUUUUCUCCAUGGGUCUGACUUGUGAGUCAUUUUUAUAAACCAACGUCAAACAUGAAUCCAUGUUUCUUACUUGAAAAACCCCGAACAAACACCAUUAGCAGGAGGCACUCGCGUUGGGGUCGCUCAUCGACGACAAGAAGAAACUUGGUGACUGCCAG